ensembl:rRNA 5S_rRNA 5S ribosomal RNA
AGCCACAGCCAUAUCACCCUGCAGCCCAAGACUGGUUGCCCACUGAAGCUAAGCAGGGUUGAGCCUGGUCAGUACCUGGAUGGGAGACCUACUGGGAAAACUAGGUUGCUGUUGGAA